CUCUUUCUGUAAAUGUUCCACCACAAAACAUUCUGUUACACUGGAAUUAAGGUUGUAAAUACGCAUUAAGAAGUUUGAGCAAAUUCUGCACUAAUUGACCGUCCCAAGUACUGACAUCGAUGGAGAAAAAGCUAUUGGAGAGCAUUACAGGCUGGGUUCUCACCCCAGAAAUGCUACUCCAUCUCCACGUGAUCGAGAAUCAAAUCCUGUGCUGAACUUGGUAACAAACACCUGCUGGAGGUAUCAGGGAUGGAAGAUCAAUCUCACUCUUCACAAACAUCAAGGACAGGACUGCAAAAGCCCCCCAGUGGCUUAAUUUGGUUCUCAUUGAGUAAAUUACAUUUUUACCACUGGCUUUAACGACAACGGAGCCACGAAAAUAAUCAGCACUUUUGGAAGUCCUAUCCUCUGUAAUUCAAAUUCAAGAAAAUAAUGUCGGUUUCUUUUGUGCCCUUAGCUAACCUCUUAAAAAAAUCCCAUCAGCCUUUCACCCACACUUACAUCAUGGGAUGAACCACGGAUCACAACGAUACCAAGCUUACUUUCUGCUCCAGCCACAGAAAACACAUGCUACUGGCAAAACCACUGCUAAUUGAAGUCGACAUCACUCUUCCCCUUGCCCUUGACAGAUCUGACCACUUCUGUGGCUGAAAUUAAAACAUUUGUUUUCCUUCACCUUCAGAAGAUCAUACUUUAUUGUUAACAUGUUAGAGAACAGUAUCACAGGCUAAGCAAAUCAAACAAUAAUUAACAGAAAAUUAAACAACAGCAAUUAAUAGGGAUACCUUCAAGUAGUCUCCGAAUGAUAAUACAACAACUCACAGCGGUGCUAUGAAGCCUGGUUUACUUCUACCUGUAAUUUACUUUGAGAUCUUAGCAUAAAAGGAGCUUAGAAUUGAAAAAUAUCAUUAUUAGCAUAAAAAUGAGGUAUGUUCUAUUUAUUUUGUGCAAUAAUUUAGCAGAUCAUAUUACACAACUUUAUACUGUACACACAAGGUCACACAGGAUAUGACUUGUCACACUGCGUUGCCUAUGCAUGAAAUCCUCAUUUUGUGCAGAGCUCCAAAAUAUAUAUUCAUGUCAGAAUAUCUUACUGUCCAGCAAUAGCCUGAGAGUUUCAUUCUAUUACAUACAGGGGAAACAAAUUCAGCGUCAUUUGAGAGUUCUCCUCUCCUCUCAAUACCCGAAUGAACCCUCAUUAAUCAAGAACUGCAGAUAGCCACCAAAAGGGAACCAGCCCUGUUACUGCUCUCUGCAGUCUGAGACGAAAUUAUAUCCAUUCUCUUAGCAUUUUUCAAGCAUUUCUGUGCGACUGCCCCAAUCAAACAGCCAAAAUGUGGCACCAAUUUCAUAAGAUCAGUUAGCGGGGAAGAGAAUAGCUUUAUUAAAUGCUAAAAAAAAAAAACAACCCAACAAUCAGAAUUGUUUCUAAGGAUGGAAUGUCACCGACUGCGCCAGCAUGGCUUCUACUGCACAGCUCACAGCUCUGGAGACAGCACGACUUUCUCCAUCCUGCCCAGCAGCGCACACCGGGACCUCCAGCACUGCUCACGCCCGCCCUCCUGAUGCUGGUAGAUGGACAAGCAGGGGCUCCUAUCUAACCCUGCUGCCUGUCUCCCCAUCAGCUCCUGGUUGUUUAGGUUUAAAUGCUUUUCUCCUCCAAAUACAUCCACGCUGGAGAAAACAAGAAAAUUCUUUGAGUAUGACUUCUUGGAGAAUUCUUUUUUUUUUUUAACCAGACAUAAAUCCGAAAUUAUGGUAUAAGCCAUUCCUAGCAGGGCAGCUUGCUCAACGAAAUCCUUAAAUCUAGGAUGUGUCAGUUUGCAUUAGGAAAAGAAAUACUACCGUGGUCUUCAAUAAAACAGCAGAAAGCAGGAACAGUUUAGAGAUCAGAGCACAUAAGCAGUGUAGCCUCCAGACCAGAACAGCAGGUCUGACACGAGAUUCAGGUAAAUAGCCAGAACAGAACAGCAAUUAACAGUUAACAGGCCACUUAAGUUAAGAGCUUUCCUUGAGAAAACAGCCUCAGACCUUCAGAGACUCCGGGAACUGACAGUUCAAGCAGGAAGUAAAAUGGCAAAAAAUCGAAGCGUGUGGGGAAUUUCCUCAGCAGGCCUUUUAUCCACAAUCUGUACGUACGAAGCCAGGAGUGCCCGGCCUGAAUGCGGAUGGAGGGCAAUGGGAGUGCAAGGGAGGAGGCUCUGCAGACAGCGGGAUCUCUGUGCUGCAGCUCUCGUUUUCUGGGCAGCUGACAUCCCCUAUGCGCACUUUGUGUUCCCGCAGUCCCAACUAAGGGGCACUGGCUUGGAGAAGCAGAGCCACAGCCCGCGUGCAGGCAAACCUGGGGACAUGCAGGAGCACAACCAUUGGAAAUGAAAGUAGGUCCAGCACAGAGAACACCGGAAACCAGCCAACUGCCUUCCCCAGCCCUUCGAUCCUACUGCCAAAGCAGUCAUCCUGCAGUCCCCGUGCCCCCAGCAGAACCCUGCAAGACGUGUGCACAGUGCUGUUCCCGCAGCGCCCCGCCGCUCCCCAGCAUCCUGCUGCAGGGAUGCAUGCAGCACAGCCAGACAUGCAGCCCAGGGUUAGUGCAGCAGUGGGGGAAGGAGGGGGUGGGGGAGGUGGGGGGGGGCUGCUGUUAGGCAGAUCCAGGAGGGCAGAGGUGUCAAAGCAGUUUUACAGCUUUCUGGUGCUGAUAUGUGCCGGAGCCAGGGGACUUUCUGAUGGACGUAUGGGAGCAACACAUACAGACUGUUUGAAAGGGUCAUCUGCGUAUUUCACAGCAGCGGCCCGUGGGGGCAGCCCGUUGGCAGUGGAGGGACCCAGGCCCUUCUGGCUGUUCCAGAGGACCCACCAGGACAGGGUUUCAGAGGAACACGAGAGCAGCUAAGCCCCUCGCUCAUGUCAGGGGAGCUGGGGGCAAGGACUUUCAGAGCUGGGUGUUUUGGGGCAAGGAAAAUUGGGGUAUGGCUUUUUGACAGUAAGGAGGUUUGGAAGUAAGGGCAUCACGAGGGAGCCUGGAGAUGGAAGCACUCAGGGCCGAGGGCACUUGCGAGCAAGGGCUGCUGGACGCACGGCACAGCCCCUCGGCGAUGGCACUCGAGGCUGAGGUUCUUUGGUGGUGAAAGCAUACAGGGCUAAGAGGGGAUGAGAGCGAAGAUAGAAAUAAUUUUGCUGUGGAUCCAAAUGGUGGCAUCGUGCUGUACUGACUUCGUCUCUUGUCUUCAUUCCACUAGCUUUUCACAAGGACGUGCUUUGGAGGCAUGACUUUACAAAGGUUGGAGCUGUCAUGGUCAAGCACUGAGAGGAGGCAUUUAUUAAGCACUGCGAACGACAGGCUGGUAAAAGACUGCCUACAACUUUGUCUUUUGCAGCACCAAAUACAGAGUAUUAUUUAACAUUUCACGCACAACUUUGCAGAAAAGUUUUGUCCCCUUGGAAUCCUCCUAAGAUCCCACUGUAUGGUUAUGGCUGAAAAAAAAU
ensembl:lncRNA